ACUAUCCAAAGACUUCUCUAGAAGCAUUAGAAGGUAUACAGCAAGUAUUGUGUAACAGUUGGUGAAGUUUGCCUGGAGUCUCAGAAAAUAUCAAAAUUUGAAUAUCAAUUCCCAGCACUUAGUGAAACCAUACAGGUGAUAAUGUGCAAAUAAUGAAUCUCAUUAGCUUAAAUUAGGACAACCCGUGAUAGCCUUGUCAUGUUAUAUGCAUUUAUAAGGAGCUCUGCCUGAGAUUGUUUAUUUAAGUUCCUGUCCACAAUAUUUUGUAGAUAAAAAUUUUUGAAUGGGCAAUUCUUAUUGCCCUGCUACAUUGUACUUUUAAAUUAAUAAUAAAACCAUUUGUAGUAUGGUGUGUGGGCAGAUCAAAGGCGCCGCCAGUGCUACCAUAGAUAAUAGAGUAAAUGAAAGGGAUUGGAAACUUCCGUGUUGCUACAUUGACUUUGUACAUUGCUAGGCAACGGAUGCGGGUUACCCCUUUUCUUAGCAACGGCUGCCGACUUUUAGCAAGAAAGUGUCUUGUUUGUGACCUGUCAAAGGCUGUCAUUAAUCAGUAGUGUCAUUGUUUGUCAUGAUUUAUAUGAAAUAAAGUAGAGGAAACAUGUCUCUAUCCCCCAGACAACUUCUGUAGUGCAUUCAUCAUUACUUACACUGAUUUUUUUGCUCUUAAAUGACGGUGAUUGCAACUACAUUUUGUUUUGUACCUUUUUCUUGAAAGUGUUAAACAAAUGAUAACAACUAAUUCAA